rnacentral:rRNA from 1 species
UACGUAGGGGGCUAGCGUUGUCCGAUUUAUUGGGCGUAAAGAGCGUGUAGGCGGCCAGGUAGGUCUGCUGUGAAAACUCGAGGCUCAACCUCGAGACGUCGGCGGAAACCAUCUGGCUAGAGUCCGGAAGAGGAGAGUGGAAUUCCUGGUGUAGCGGUGAAAUGCGCAGAUAUCAGGAAGAACACCCGUGGCGAAGGCGGCUCUCUGGGACGGUACUGACGCUGAGACGCGAAAGCGUGGGGAGCGAACAGG